CCGGUCCCUGCCACUUAACAGCUUGUUUUUCCCAGAGUCCGGCUCCCGGCGCCUGCCACUUAACGGAAUGUUUUAUAAAAUGACCGCGCCACUUCUCCCCUAUGCAACUUGUAGCUCUGCCACCUGAGGGGUUAAAAAUUGUACGUCAAU